GUUAAAACGGAGUAUUAUCAAGUAGAAUUUGCAGAGCAAUAAGGAGAACAGCAUUCACGAAGAAAUUAUCACAUGACUCAUCACGUGAGAAGAAGGAAGUCUAUGUCCUUGUCACACUACCGGCGAUUUCAUCUAACAGCGAAGAACUUCGCAAGAGGCUAAUGGUUGGACUUGGCAGACAGACAGCAGUCCACCUGUACACGUCCGUGUUAAGAGAAGCCGUGACAUAGUCUUAGCUGCCGGAACGGCGUUUAAAACAAACAAACAAAACGUUUGCAGGAGCACGAUUACUCACUAAUAAACCAAGGGAAGUCACUUCGUGUAAGACUACGUGAUUUGUAGACCGGUGUCUUCUCGUGGUAUCAAGAUAUAUUAACAAUUAACAAUCACAAGCAAGCUGGAGGAAGAGAGAUAAUGUAGACAGGUUGGAGACACGAGGCUGCAUCCAACAGGUGUCUUGUCCACAGUCUUGGCUCUACCUUUGUAAACUACAUUCAUGGACCCUCGAGGUAAAGGCGUGUUUCUGACAGGCGGGGCACAAGGCUUAGGCCGAGGUAUCGUGGAGGAGCUUUUGUCCCUGGGAGCAAAGGUGUUGUUCUGUGAUGUCGAUGUGGAGAGAGGGAGAGCCACUGAGUCUGAACUACGAACACAAUAUGGCGCCGAUGUCGUCUUCUUCCAGCCGGCCGAUGUCUCGGAUGACGAACAGCACAAAGAGUUUCCCAGGUGGUACAGGCCGUUAUGAAACUGAUACGAGAUCCAGACAACAACGGCGCCAUCUUGGAGGUGUCCCAUGAGAAGGGGGCUCGUUACAGGCGACGACAGGUUGUUGAUCGCGAUGAUGUUUCCGAUGUCGAAGAGGUGGACACGUACUGAGGACUGAGGGGCUCGUAAAACCUACUCAAAACUCUUGUAAUUCUUUUUAUCAUUUAUUAUCUCUCACAGAUAUAGCACAUAAAAAGCAAUAUUUUACAAUAUAACAACAUAACAGCAAACAUAUGCACAUAGAUUAACAGUCAUUUUAAGAAUACAUCCAUCUACCAAGCCAGCAAUGUAAUAUUUUACACAACAGAGACAAAGUGUGUAUUCUUUUCACACCUCACACAAAUCAAGCAAUCAUCAUAUAGACACCUUGCAUCCCAUGUGUAAUAGGCUGACAGCGCAACAAUAUUAAUGUAUGUAAUAUCAACACAUGUAAUUUUAUGUAAUCAUAAAGUCAUUUAUACAUAUAGUCAAUAUUCAGUCUAGUUAAUAAGUUGUUAAUAUGGUGGCCAGUGCUUAGCAAACUUGUCUUCGUUUAUUUCUAAUCAUGUAUUACAUUUUUCAAUUGUAUAUCUGUUUUAAUGUUCAGAUAAAGGGUUCUAACUGAGGGAUUGCCUUUUUUUUAAUCUACCAUAUAUUUGUAUGUUUUUGCUAGCAGUAAAAUUAAAUCAAGUACAACAUCUAUCUCACAGUUUUUACUGCAUCCAAACAAAUGUUCACUGAUAGCUAUCUUUAGAGCAUUUGUACAUUUGUCUAAUAUACAAUUUUGUAAGUUUCUCCAAAAAUCAUUAGUUCAUUUACAAGUCCAAAAUAUAUGUUGAAUAUUUUCUUUUUCAUCUCUUAAAAGGCCGCAGACAUCAUCUUCUAUUCCCAUGUGCAAUAAUAUACUUUUUCCCCAGAGUUUUAUGUAGCCAUUGCACCUAUUAAAAUAUUCACAGCUUUUC
rnacentral:misc_RNA from 1 species